GGCUCACUGAAAAGACUUCAGUAUAGAUGUUAUGCGGUCAUGAAUCCUGUUACUGAGGGUUGCUAAGCUACCGACUAAUGGCGAUGAGUUAGUCCCAGACGAAACCUAAGUCUAAACUUUUAUAUUGAACUAAUUCAAGAAUUACUCUCCUUCAAGAGAUUUCUAAAGAGCAGAAGCAAAGUCCCAGUUAUGUCUGAGAAGCAAGUGUGAUUGCAGAAGCACUGUAAGGAAAAGGCAAUAUCAUUUAUGCCGUUGUUAUGCAGUGUGUGAGUCUCUGUGUGCAGAGUGAAGCCCUUUGGCAGACAGCCUCUGAAGCAGUAGCCACACACAUCGUACCCAACAACCUAGAGUUCUGAGAGGAAGGCAAGUCUGAGGAAUAACCAGCCCAAGGUCAGUAGUAUACAUUAGGACCACAUGAACAUAUAUCCAGACAGUUCACAAAAUGUCAUGUCGGGGGCACCGACAAUGUUAUACAUUCCGGUUACCACAAUAUUACAGAGGACUUUCCAAGAGACUUUGGAAAUGAUACUUUCCCAAGAGGAGCUCAAGCAAUGAUGACAUCAGUUCUUCAGACACCGCUGGGUUGAGCAGAGCUAAAUCGUGAAAGAAUGACAGAUUCAAUUCUGCUGAGUUUAACCAAAGUUUGACAGAUGAUCUUUCAGAGUCUUUCCUGAUUGGACUUCUGACUGGACCAUGAAUAUAGGCUUUGCUUUGAAUGCUGAAAAUGCAAACAGCUAGAUGCAGGCAAAGCUGGACUUUUUCUCAUCUACAUGACCUUGGGGAAGCCAUUUAACAUUUGGGACUCCUUUUCACCCCAGAAGAGAGACUAGUUAGACCUGGCUGAGCAUCUCCCAAACUGACAGGAAUAUCAAGAAAGUAAACAGAGGUUUCCAAAACUGGAAACUGCAAACAUCCAUUGCUUUUCCAGCUUAGGUGUUCUUUCACCUUUAGAAAGAUUGGACGAACAAAAAUUUAGACUUUUUUUUUUUUUGCUGAGAAAGUCAACUGAGUUAGAAGUCAAGAUGCAUCAUAGCCAGAAUACACUCUCCUUUCAUCUUUAUUUCUAUUCUUGUCCAUACAUCCUAUAAAGAAAAUCGAUACAUGGAUUGGACGGAGAAUAUUUUCCUUUGUUCUAAGUGAAUUUCAGCUAAGAACCCUUGCUGUGAGAUUAGGAGUGACUAUGUGAUGUGACUUCCUCAGUUGUGAUGUUUAGAAUGAGCUCUUGUUUAAAAACUUGCUGUCAACUGAGCUUCGAAACUAAAACAAAAGGACUGAAGAAGAAGAAGAGUCUCAAAUACUCACGCAGCCAAAGGACCGUAUCACCCAUGAGUUCAGACCCGCCCAGGCCUACGUGGCACACACUAGGUAUGGUUAUUUUUAGAUGUUGAAGUGGCCUGGAAACUGCAAACUGAGAAAUCUAGAAGAGCCAGUCACUUCAAGAAGCCACACACAUAGCUUUAUUUUUUUUUUGAAACAUCUAAAUUUUGCAGGAUGUCUUCUUACCACUUCAAAUACAUCCCACCUUUUGGUAUUUUUAGCAUCAGGUAUUCAUUUUUUUUUUGGCUUGCUAUAGCUAUCCCUGUGACGAUCUCUGCUCUCACAAGUUUUUCUAUUCAGAAUUCUUGAAUAUUAGUUUCUCCUAAAGCUAUUCCCAGGCCCUUCUAUAUUUAACUCCUCAAGUGAGGCAGAAAACAUCAAAUCUCAAAUUUUUUAAAAAGAAAUCAAAACAUUUAAAACAGGAAACAUUCAUUGUAUCAAAAUUUGGUUACAAAAACACACAUAUAUUUAACAAUUAUAUAUUUUAAUAUAUA
ensembl:lncRNA